GAAUUAUUAUUUUUAGAUUUUAUGGAAAUUAAAAUCUUUACUAAUUUUAGAUGAGUUUAAUUUGUGGUCCUAAUUUUUUUUUGUUUACAACCGUUGAUUCAAAUUUUUAUUUAUAUAUAAAUUAAUAAAAACAUUUCCAAUUUUUAUGUCAUCAUAUUCUCUGACCUCUUAAUUUUCACAUUUCAAUCGAAAGUUUGAUAACUGCUACAAUGCCAUCAAUUGCAUCUAUCAUGUCAUGGGAUGAAUCAAACGAUGUUAUGAAAUUCGAAAUGACCUGCGAAAAUUAUUUUCUCCCUGAAAUUAUAUAUCCAUUUCGUGCCGUUCUUAUGAAAAUUACGGUGAGCAGAAAAUACACAGUUAUCUCACCUUCUUCACCAUCAUCAGCUAGCACGACAUCUUUCGUCCCUAAGAUAAUUUCGAAGACCGACCAACACUUCAGUUCCAUAACGUCGACAGAGACGACCAUCAAAUAUUUAACUCUGAUAGAUCUGAUACCAAGAGUCUGCUAGAUAUCCGUGCUUUAGUGCAAGAUGUUCAUGAUAAGAUGUAAGUAUUGGAAGAAGAAGUAGACUUACUGGAAGAAGAAGAAGACGACGAUUCCGGCGACUCCGACUAGUGGGAAGAGGCUGAGGAGGACUUGCUGUCCGUUGGGAGCGAAGUGAAGAGGCCAGCUAGAAGAUUAAUUAAAUUUUUGGAAGUUAUAAUCGAAGAAUUAAGCCUAACAUUUGUAACCAAGGAGAUAUCCUUAAAACGCAACUGAGUGAAUGAAUAGCAAUAAAUUUUCAAUGACUGAAGAUUGAGACUAGUCUUUAAUUCAACAACUGUAAUGUCGUCAUACAUUCCGAGAUCCAAAUGCUUCAGAAGUGGACACAAAUUUAUCAAUUUAUGUAACAUCGUUUCACUAUCACAUGUAAUGUCAUGAAGACUUAGAGAGGUUAAUUAGCUUUUUAAACCCAUCAAAUGACGAAGGAAGUAUGAUUUCAGACAUCAUAGCCACUAUAUACAGAUUUCUGAAUAAUUCCUUGAUGAAGUAAGAGAACCCGUUGAACAUUAUUUACGAUAAGAGUUGUGCUAUCUGAAAACGAUUCGUCACUGUCAAUGGGAAUUUCAG
rnacentral:lncRNA from 1 species